rnacentral:lncRNA from 1 species
GGCUUCAGAGCCCACAGGAAGCCAGACAGGUGCCCUCUCGAGUUGGAAGGACAAAGGGACUGAUACUUAAGCCACAUUUCAAACCAUGAAUGCAGAGCCUGGUUGGAGCCGUCUGUGGUGGCAGGACAAGGAGAGAGACUAUUCAGUUGGCACUUCCUAGGUCUGGAGUCCAAAUGACAUCCCUUCCCCCUGUGCUACUGUUUUCUGGUUCUACUCAGAGGCAGUCUACCCAUCUGAGCCCAAACCAUGGAGAGAGACCCUAUUUUAUGACACCUCCUCUCAGGGCUCUGGCUUCCAGAUCUUCCUGCAGCUGUGUGAUGCCCCAGGCUCCACACCACCCUGCCAACCUUCCAUUCUUUCCUCUCCAUCAGCCACACCCAAGGGGCCUCAUCCUGGCAGAGAAAGAGUCUCAAGUAUCUGGUCUACUCUGUGCUACAGGAACAUUUCUGAGAAUGGUCAAGAGCCCAAGCCACAGUUUGCCUCCAUGCUCCAGGCCAUGGUCAGAGGUGAGGAGAACAUUCUAUUCCUGUCCUUGA